CCUACGGGAGGCAGCAGUGAGGAAUAUUGGUCAAUGGACGCAAGUCUGAACCAGCCAUGCCGCGUGCAUGAAGACGGCUCUAUUAGUUGUAAACUGCUUUUGUACGAGGGUAAACGCAGAUACGCGUAUCUGUCUGCAAGUCUCAUACGACUACGGCUCGGCUAACUCCGUGCCAGCAGCAGCGGUAAUACGGAGUUUUCCAGUGUUAUCCGGACUUAUUGGGUUGAAAGGGUGCGUAGUCGGUCGGAUAAGUUAGAGGUGAAAUCCCGGGGCUCAACUUCGGGAUUGCCUCUGAUACUGUUCGGCUAGAGAGUAGUAGAGGUAAGCGGAAUGUAUGGGGUAGCGGUGAAAUGCUUAGAGAUCAGAAAGAACAC
rnacentral:rRNA from 1 species